CUCCUUCUGUUUGUAAGUGAUGACUGGGUAUUCCCGCAAUUGUGUGAGAUGUGCCUCCCUCUAAACAUAUUACAGCAUAGGCACAUUACCCAUCUGAAG
rfam:Ictidomys tridecemlineatus contig058453, whole genome shotgun sequence.